AGUGAACGCUGGCGGUAGGCCUAACACAUGCAAGUCGAACGGCAGCACAGUAAGAGCUUGCUCUUACGGGUGGCGAGUGGCGGACGGGUGAGGAAUACAUCGGAAUCUACUUUUUCGUGGGGGAUAACGUAGGGAAACUUACGCUAAUACCGCAUACGACCUACGGGUGAAAGCAGGGGAUCUUCGGACCUUGCGCGAUUGAAUGAGCCGAUGUCGGAUUAGCUAGUUGGCGGGGUAAAGGCCCACCAAGGCGACGAUCCGUAGCUGGUCUGAGAGGAUGAUCAGCCACACUGGAACUGAGACACGGUCCGGACUCCUGCGGGAGGCAGCAGUGGGGAAUAUUGGACAAUGGGCGCAAGCCUGAUCCAGCCAUACCGCGUGGGUGAAGAAGGCCUUCGGGUUGUAAAGCCCUUUUGUUGGGAAAGAAAAGCAGCAGGUUAAUACCCCGCUGUUCUGACGGUACCCAAAGAAUAAUCACCGGCUAACUUCGUG
rnacentral:rRNA from 1 species